rnacentral:rRNA from 1 species
GGAUGAACGCUGGCGGCGUGCUUAACACAUGCAAGUCGAACGAUGAAGCCAGCUUGCUGGUGGAUUAGUGGCGAACGGGUGAGUAACACGUGAGUAACCUGCCCUUGACUCUGGGAUAAGCCUGGGAAACUGGGUCUAAUACCGGAUAUGACCUUCCAUCGCAUGGUGGUUGGUGGAAAGCUUUUGUGGUUUUGGAUGGACUCGCGGCCUAUCAGCUUGUUGGUGAGGUAAUGGCCUACCAAGGCGACGACGGGUAGCCGGCCUGAGAGGGUGACCGGCCACACUGGGACAGAGACACGGCCCAGACUCCUACGGGAGGCAGCAGUGGGGAAUAUUGCACAAUGAGCGCAAGCCUGAUGCAGCGACGCCGCGUGAGGGAUGACGGCCUUCGGGUUGUAAACCUCUUUCAGUAGGGAAGAAGCGUAAGUGACGGUACCUACAGAAGAAGCGCCGGCUAACUACGUGCCAGCAGCCGCGGUAAUACGUAGGGCGCAAGCGUUAUCCGGAAUUAUUGGGCGUAAAGAGCUCGUAGGCGGUUUGUCGCGUCUGCCGUGAAAGUCCGGGGCUCAACUCCGGAUCUGCGGUGGGUACGGGCAGACUAGAGUGAUGUAGGGGAGACUGGAAUUCCUGGUGUAGCGGUGAAAUGCGCAGAUAUCAGGAGGAACACCGAUGGCGAAGGCAGGUCUCUGGGCAUUAACAGACGCUGAGGAGCGAAAGCAUGAGGAGCGAACAGGAUUAGAUACCCUGGUAGUCCAUGCCGUAAACGUUGGGCACUAGGUGUGGGGGACAUUCCACGUUUUCCGCGCCGUAGCUAACGCAUUAAGUGCCCCGCCUGGGGAGUACGGCCGCAAGGCUAAAACUCAAAGGAAUUGACGGAA